GUUAUCCUAUGCUUUGAUUUUCUGGAAAUUUUGGUUUCUCUCUUGAUCGGCUGCCAAAGAAGUCCAAUUCUAGUUACUCAUGUUCGUCUGUAUGUCUUGCCAUGUUAAUGUAGCUCAGAUCGUGGAUUUGUAGUCAAGUUCAAGGCUUCGGAUGUGUUCUUGUUGAACGAAAACCAUCGGUUUGAUCGAUACGUGUCUAGUUAUCCUGUGCUUGAUUUUCUGGAAAUUUCGCAUUUAUAUUGAUCGGUUGCUUAAGUCUCUGUUCCCGAUUAUUUAUUGUUGGUAUGUCUAUCAUGACUUGAUGUAGUUUGGAUCGUGGAUUCGAUUUCAGCCUGCUGCUUUCGGAUGUCUUUUGGUUGAACGACAUGGAUCGAUUUGAUAAUUCGUGUUUGGUUAUCUUAUGCGUGGUUCUCUAUGAAUUUUGGUUUAUGUCUUGAUCGGUUGCCGAAGAUGUCUAUUUGUAGUUACGUACGCUCGUCUGUAUGUCUUGUCAUGUUGAUGUAGCGCAGAUCGUGGAUUUGAUAUCAAGUUCAAGGCUCCGGAUUUGUUCUAGUUGAGCGAAUAGAUCGGUUUAUCCUAUGCUUGGUUUUUUGGAACUUUUGCAUUUAUAUUGAUCGGUUGCUUUCAAUUUAUCUUUCCGAAUAUGUAUUGUUGCUUUGUCUGUCAUGACUUGAUGUAGUUCGGGUCGCAGAUUCGGUUUCAGCAGCAAGCUUUCGGAUUUCUUUGGUUGAGCGAGACCUCGACAGGUUUACAAGCUUGGUUCUAGUCCUUCAUCACUCAUCAGCAAGCUUGGUUCUAGUCCUUCAUCACUCAUCAGCAAGCUUGGUUGAACAACAUGGAUCGGUUUAGCAGGCCUUUGAAUUUCCCUUCAUUAGUAGACUCAUUUAAUAUUUGAUUAGACUUAAAUUUGUGGGUUGUUCUUUGCUUUUUUGUUUAUUCUUCCUAGGUUUGAUCCAAUAUUGGGGUUCAUUAACCUAAUGCUAAGAGGUUCCAUGUAGAGCAAGCCCAGUCAGUCCCAUGAUGAUCAUUAGUGGCCUUUUCAAGCUUGGUUUUAUUCCUUCCAAAAAUUUUUCCUUGAAUUUUGAUUUUGAUUUCCCAAAAUUUCUUCACUCUUUUACUGUAUGUAUAAUUUAGUAAAAUCCUAAUUCUUCCUUUAUUUAUUCUUCUGCAUAAUUGCAGGUCUAGAUGUGUUGUGUUACAAGGGUCAGGACAUCUUCCAAUUGUGAAAAUUUUGGUUUGGUUUGAUCCAAGAUUGUGUGGUUAAUUAACCUAGUUCCUAGAGGAGGGAGCCAGUCUAUUCAGAGUUGUAUGAUGAUCAUUAGUGCUCAGAUCGUGGAUUUGAUAUCAAGUUCAAGGCUCCGGAUCUGUU